rnacentral:lncRNA from 1 species
UUGGAAGUGAGUUGCUGGAAGAGAAUGGAUAUUAAAAUGUCCUGAGCCAUGCUCAGAGGCAUUUGCCUCUAUUCUCAUCACAAGGCGGGCAGGAGCAUCAGGAGGAGUUCAAGGUCAGCCUUGGCUACAGAGGCUGGACAACAGAACAAGAUUUCCUUACAACACGGAGCUGACAUCUUACUAUUUCCGACAGUCAACGUUCAUAUAUGGUUUCCACAGAGCAAAGGCAUUUUCUACUUGACUGAUUUUUAACACCGGGUGCUUUUAAAUAAACCUUUUGCAGAUGACCUCUCUGCAUUCUUACAGAUUACAGGACAGAGACUUGCAAUGUUCAUGAUCUUAAGCAGAGCCUGUAAGCCAAGCAUUUGGGAGGUAAAGAUAGGAAGAUUAUAAGUUCAAGAAUAGCCUGAGCUCCAUGGUGAGUUCAAAGCCAGCCCUAGCCAUGUUGUAAGACCCUGUCUCAAAAUUAAAAAAAUAAAAAAUAAAAUAAAGGCAUGUGCUGCAGCAGGGAAUGGUGACUUGAACUCCUAAUCCCAGCAGUUGGAAAGAGUCUUGGUUACUUAACUUUUCUAUUGUGGUGACAAAACACCAGGACCCAAGGCAAUUUACAAAAGAAAGAAUCAGGAUGUAGAAGCUUAAAGUUUCAGAGGGUGAGAAACGACCAUCAUGGAAAGGAACAUAGCAACAGGCAGCCAGGCAUGGUGCUGGGGCCCAGCCUGAGAGUUUACCUGAUCAGCAAGCACAGGACAGAAAGAGAGCGAACAGCACCAUACCUCCUCCAAUAAGACCACCCCUUAUUCCUAAUCCUUCCCAAACAGUUCCACCAGCUGGGACAUAACAUUCAAACACAUGAACCUGUGGGGGGCCGUUCCCAUUCAGAUUACCAUACAGAACGAUUGCUGCAUAUUUGAGGGCAGUAUGGGAUACAUACUAUGUUCCAAGCCAGCCUAGGCUAUAAAGCAAGUUCCAGGACAGCCAUAGUAAGAACCUAUUCACAAAACAUAAAAUUUUAAAAAUGCACAUGGCUCAACAUAAAAUUUUUAAAAUGCACAUGGCUCAGCAGAUAAAGGUACUUGUUGCACAAAUCUGAAACCCAUGUCCAAUCCUGGUAAAGCCUCUUAAAAAUGGAGAUAACCAGCCCCAUAAAGUUUCUGACCUUUGCAUGCGUGUGAGGCCACAAAUCCUCCAGCCACUCAGGCAUGAGUACAGUAUCUGGUUUGUAAAGUACCCUAAAAAUGAGAGUUAUUAUUUGCAGUUCUAGAGUUGGGUUUCUUGUGUUUCUCAUAUCACAUUAAUUUGUCUUUUAUGUGUGUGCACGUACGCACAUGCCAUGUUACCUCUACUCACCACACCAUAUUGUGGAGAAUGGAGCCCAGGGCUUCACACAUGGCAGGCAGUCCCCUUCACUGGAUCACAUCCCAGCAUCAUUGUUAUGAUUGUCAGCUGCUGGCAUGGUGAAGAUGUGGUCAGAGGGUUUCUCUCACAGGACCGUGUUCCUGGUACAGCAGCGUUGUUGAGGUAGUAGAACUUUUAAGAAACAGAGGCUAGCCCUGGGACUAGCCUACUACCUAUUCAACAAGAGCAGUGCUUCUCAGCCUUCCUAAUGCUGUGACCCUGUAAUACAGUUCCUCAUGGUGUGGUGACCCCAAAGUAUAAAAUUAUCUUUGUUUCUUCUUCACAACUGUAAUUUUGCUACUGUUAUGAAUUAUAACCUAAAUAUCCAAUAUGCAGGAUAUCUGGUAUGUACCUCCAUGAAAGGUCGAUUGACCCACAAAGGGGUCACAACCCACUGUGCUAGAUGGCCAUAGUAUCUAUCCCUCUA